rnacentral:Y_RNA from 1 species
AGCUAGUUGGAGUGCCGUGGUGUUUACAACUAACUGAUCACAGCCACUACAGAUUUCUUUGUUCCUUCUUCAUGCCCACUGUUUCACUUGACUAGCCAGAA